rnacentral:piRNA from 1 species
UAGGAAGGCAGAGAGUCUGUAUCUGUGAU